rfam:Rhodobacteraceae bacterium HLTCCO18 ITZY_scaf_94, whole genome shotgun sequence.
GCACCCGUAGCUCAGCUGGAUAGAGCGCUGCCCUCCGAAGGCAGAGGCCAGAGGUUCGAAUCCUCUCGGGUGCG